rnacentral:sRNA from 1 species
UACAAGAUCUGCGCCUGGAUGCAGCUCUUGGCAGGAGGAAUGUAACUUUUGGAAAUGGCUGGAAGUCACUCCAGAUCAAGUAUAGAGAAUACGAUGGGUCAUCAAAUUGAUAAUUGUCACUUGGAAUGACAGCCAAGGUGUGAGGACAAAGUCAUGAGGCUGAUCUGUUUCCACAAGAGGACUUUUACAAAUCCAGGGAGGAAUUACUGCCUCAUUGGAAGAACUGCCCAAACUCCUAAAAGGACUAUUUUGAAGAAGGCAGAUGUGGACAUUCUAAUGGGCUUGUUUCAAAUUCAUCUCACCCAACUCAAUUUAGAUGUGGAUCUUUGAAGAGGGUGGGAAAGGUGAACUAUAGGAUAUGGGGGAUAUGGCUCCAUACUUCUCUGUGGUACCCAGGGAGGUGAUAUUAUGUAUUUCUGUUCUAUUUCUCCUGCAAAGGCAAGCUGGAAUCCUCAAUUCAUCAACCUUAAUUUGGAGUCUGCA